CGCGGGUUGGAGCAGCUUGGUAGCUCGUCGGGCUCAUAACCCGAAGGUCGUCGGUUCAAAUCCGGCCCCCGCAACCA
rnacentral:tRNA from 1 species